AGUGAACGCUGGCGGUAGGCCUAACACAUGCAAGUCGAACGGCAGCACAGUAAGAGCUUGCUCUUACGGGUGGCGAGUGGCGGACGGGUGAGGAAUACAUCGGAAUCUACUCUUUCGUGGGGGAUAACGUAGGGAAACUUACGCUAAUACCGCAUACGACCUACGGGUGAAAGCAGGGGAUCUUCGGACCUUGCGCGAUUGAAUGAGCCGAUGUCGGAUUAGCUAGUUGGCGGGGUAAAGGCCCACCAAGGCGACGAUCCGUAGCUGGUCGGAGAGGAUGAUCAGCCACACUGGAACUGAGACACGGUCCAGACUCCUACGGGAGGCAGCAGUGGGGAAUAUUGGACAAUGGGCGCAAGCCUGAUCCAGCCAUACCGCGUGGGUGAAGAAGGCGUUCGGGUUGUAAAGCCCUUUUGUUGGGAAAGAAAAGCAGCAGGUUAAUACCCCGCUGUUCUGACGGUACCCAAAGAAUAAGCACCGGCUAACUUCGUG
rnacentral:rRNA from 1 species